rnacentral:rRNA from 1 species
AUUGAACGCUGGCGGCAGGCCUAACACAUGCAAGUCGAGCGGGGUUUUCGGACCUAGCGGCGGACGGGUGAGUAAUGCGUAGGAAGCUGCCCGAUAGAGGGGGAUACCAGUUGGAAACGACUGUUAAUACCGCAUAAUGUCUACGGACCAAAGCGUGGGACCUUCGGGCCACAUGCUAUCGGAUGCGCCUACGUGGGAUUAGCUAGUUGGUGAGGUAAUGGCUCACCAAGGCGACGAUCUCUAGCUGGUUUGAGAGGAUGAUCAGCCACACUGGAACUGAGACACGGUCCAGACUCCUACGGGAGGCAGCAGUGGGGAAUAUUGGACAAUGGGCGCAAGCCUGAUCCAGCCAUGCCGCGUGUGUGAAGAAGGCCUUCGGGUUGUAAAGCACUUUCAGCGAGGAGGAAGGGUGGUGUGUUAAUAGCACAUCAUUUUGACGUUACUCGCAGAAGAAGCACCGGCUAACUCUGUGCCAGCAGCCGCAGUAA